rnacentral:lncRNA from 1 species
GAGCCAUUGAUUAUGCAGCUCUUUCAGUUCUCCAAGAUGUUCAUCCCUUUUCUUUCUGAAGAAGCAGCAACUUAGACCCAAUAUUGAAUUUCUUCAGUCAUUACCUUCUGCCAUGGGAACAGAGAACACCGCAGGAAAUGGAAGGUUCUUUUUUUCUGAUGGUGCGAGGACAGAAAGUCAUUCAAUUCAUUACAUGCAUAUCAAUCACCUUGGGAGGAGUUUUUGGAGAUGUUUCAUCCAGCACCUGACUCAAAGCAACUUCAACCCUGAUUCCACUCUAGAGUCAAAUGAGGUUGCUCAGGCUCUGGCCCAGCCAAAAUCUCAGAUGUGUAUUCCAACCUCUUUAGAUAACCCCAUGGCUCAUCAGCAACCAGAUUGCAGAGCAAGGCUCAUCAGGAGAUGA